rnacentral:rRNA from 1 species
UACGGAGGGUGCAAGCGUUGUCCGGAUUCAUUGGGUUUAAAGGGCGCGCAGGCGGUCCUGUUUGUCGAGUGUGAAAGCCCCGGGCUCAACCUGGGAAUGGCAAUGGAUACUGGCAAGCUAGAGUGCGGUAGAGGGUAGUGGAAUUCCCGGUGUGGCGGUGAAAUGCGUAGAGAUCGGGAGGAACACCAGUGGCGAAGGCGGCUACCUGGACCAGCACUGACACUGAGGCACGAAAGCGUGGGGAGCAAACAGG